rnacentral:piRNA from 1 species
UNGGCAGUGGGGUGCUUGUGGAAGCCAA